UACGUAGGGGGCUAGCGUUGUCCGGAAUCAUUGGGCGUAAAGAGCGUGUAGGCGGCCUGACAAGUCUGCUGUGAAAACUCGAGGCUCAACCUCGAGAUGUCGGCGGAAACUGUCUGGCUAGAGUCCGGAAGAGGAGAGUGGAAUUCCUGGUGUAGCGGUGAAAUGCGCAGAUAUCAGGAGGAACACCGACGGCGAAGGCAGCUUACUGGGCCGAUACUGACGCUGAGGAGCGAAAGCGUGGGGAGCGAACAGG
rnacentral:rRNA from 1 species